AUUGAACGCUGGCGGCAUGCCUUACACAUGCAAGUCGAACGGUAACGGGCCUUCGGGUGCCGACGAGUGGCGAACGGGUGAGUAAUGCAUCGGAACGUACCUUUCAGUGGGGGAUAACGUAGCGAAAGUUACGCUAAUACCGCAUAUUCUGUGAGCAGGAAAGCAGGGGAUCGCAAGACCUUGCGCUGAUUGAGCGGCCGAUGUCAGAUUAGCUAGUUGGUGAGGUAAAGGCUCACCAAGGCGACGAUCUGUAGCGGGUCUGAGAGGAUGAUCCGCCACACUGGAACUGAGACACGGUCCAGACUCCUACGGGAGGCAGCAGUGGGGAAUUUUGGACAAUGGGGGCAACCCUGAUCCAGCCAUGCCGCGUGAGUGAAGAAGGCCUUCGGUGU
rnacentral:rRNA from 1 species